rnacentral:tRNA from 1 species
GGGGAUGUGGCUCAGUGGUAAAGUGCUUACCUGGCAUGCAUGAGGCCCUGGGUUCAAAUCCUCAGCACCA